ensembl:lncRNA
CAAUAACAUGUAUUGUAGAAGAAAGAGUGUCUUCUCUACAACCACACUUAAAGUUCCUGCAGAAUGGUGACCAUGGAGUGGACAAAAAGUGUGCUGCACUCUGCAUGCAAAAAUGUUGUCUCCCACUCUACUAUCUGGUGCCUCCUGACUUUCCUGAAAAGCAGGUCUCCAUCUUACCUGUGGAGAAACUGUUCCCAGUGUUCCAUCAAUUCAAAGAGGACAUGUCCUACUCCUUGUCUGUAUGAACCAGGAUCACAGCUAUUAAGACAUCUGCGACUUUAAAAACCACAAAAUGUCAGAACAUUCCCCACAAAAUGAACAGAGCAGAAGCAAGGAUACGCUGGCACCCUUGAGAAAUUACAUUUCUUCCAGGUCUUGGUACAGCUUGGAGAUCACAUCUUCAUGGGAUCUAAAGCACAUGAUUGGUGCUGUUGGGUUUUAUGGUUACUUAUGCCUGCACAGACUAUUUUCUGUCAAGUAACAUUGCAGUAUAAGCUAUUCUGUUUCAAUAGAACUUGUAACCUUG